rnacentral:rRNA from 2 species
UCCUACCGGAGGCAGCAGUGGGGAAUAUUGCACAAUGGGCGCAAGCCUGAUGCAGCCAUGCCGCGUGGAUGAAGAAGGCCUUCGGGUUGUAAAGUACUUUCAGCGGGGAGGAAGGGAUAAAAGUAAUACCGUACUCAUGACGUACGCAGAGAGGCCCCGUUUGCCCA